UCCAAUCAAUGAGGGCUGAGUGCUGUUACAAUAAUAAUCGAUGUGUAAAAUUUCAAUUAUACGGCGAUUUGUUGCCGGGUGUUCUGCAUCGAAUUGUCAUUUUGCGCUCAUCUGAAAUCAUGAGGCGGAAAAUGACCAAAAUUCAUAUUGGGCAGCGAGUGAAUUAAUCGGUAAGGAGAAGCAACGAAGCUCGUAGUGGAACUGGGCGUCUCCGUUGGGGUUCUUAUUGUAAAUAUGCAUUAGUGCGGAUGACGGCGGCACCCGGCCCUCAUUACGCGAUGUGCCGGCCGUCAAAGUCGUCGUCGAUCCGAACCGUGAGUGUCCCGGAUACAAGCCGCUCAAUUAUGUUAAUGGCUUCGUAGCAUUCUCUCGACAACAGUACUGCCUUCACCUGAUUGAUAUGCACCAGCUACGGCUAGCUAGAACUGUCGUUAAUACGCACUUAGGGGAGGUUUACGAUCCAAGAAACACGAUUACUAAGUUUACAAACAAAAUAAAUACGUAUUUCAUAGCGUCAAAAAUAAAUAGCUUACGGGCUUUGGUCUCAAAGGAAGAAAAGAUAAGAAUUUCAAGAUAUAACAGAUCGGGAUCAGAUGGCAAAAGAAAAGUCGCGGAAGAAAUACAGAAUUUCAUAGCCGUCAACGGCAAACGAAGUUCUCACCAGUAAAUACACAGAAUGCAAUUAUAGUAGCCCCGCAGAGCACCUAACUAUUUUAUUGUUCCGUUACGAGCAAGACCUCCCCUUAUAGUUUAUUACAUAAUAAAAGCACCUUUGGUGUCGGAUUAACACAUGGAAUAUAGUACUAAACCAUGAGA